AGAAAAGCCAAUACACAGCUCAGUUCAACUCAUUCUUAAUGCAUUCUAUAAACUAGUGAAAUUAAUACUUUUCCUGGAUUGCAAAGAUUUAAGCAGUUCAAAAAUAGCAGUUCCAGAGAAAUACACAUUGAAAUAGGCCACAUCAUAAAAGCUCAAAAAUUCAAGCCACAACUAUGAAAACAUUAUCAAAUGCUUGGUUAUUUAUGAACCCCGCAAAAUCAUGUGCUAGCUGCAGCUUCCUUUUUCUCUUCUGAGGACCCAACUCCACCUUUGAUUUCAGCCUCCGGUUUCGCAGAUUCAGCCAUGUCACUUUUUUCGGGCUUUGACACCUCUUGUUCAUCAUCAUCACUCUCGUCGGAGUCAUUAUCAUCUCCCAUAUCUCCCAUGUCUCCCAUGUCCAUGUCACCCAUGCCACCCAUACCGCCAAAUUUCGAAAAGUCCAUGCCUCCCAAAUCCAAGUCACCUAGACCAGCAGUUCCAUUAUCUUCGUCCUCAUCCACCCAUUUGUCCCAAUCU
rnacentral:misc_RNA from 1 species